GUGCUUUGAUCAGAUUGCAUCUCGUUUUGAUCUACAUCUUAGAACAUAGAGGUACACAGAUUUUUGUAUCAAAAGAAAUAAUAAUAAAAAAAGAAAAGAAAAUAUCCUACAGAGCCUAUCUCCGCGCCGCCUUUCUUCUUCCUCGACGUUAUCUCCUGGCCGCCGUUCGUGGAAGAACCAUCGGCCGCCCUGUUGAUUUUUACGCGCAGUAUUUAUCUCCCUCAUCCUCACGCUCGGUCAUCUUCAUCCUCCUGCCGUGGGGCUCUCACGGCCGUCUCUCUUCCCUGCUUCCUCUCUCUCUCUCUCUCGGCUCUGCUCGUCCUGGCGCCCGCGCGUGGAGUUUCUCCCUCGGCUCGCCCGAUGGCGCUCGGCCAAGCUCCCUGCGCGUGCCACCGGAUCUCCUCCAGCGCCGCGCGCAGGCUUCUCCCUCCCUCCUCCCUCCAGCUCGGCUGCUCGGCCCUGUCAUCUCCAUGGCCGUGCCCUGCUUGGCCCUAGAUCUUCGGCCGACCACACGCAUCUCCCACGGCGCUGGUACCUGCGUCGCGAGCUCCAGCUCGGAUUCCCCCUCCCAUGGCGCCCCCAGCCCCCGCUCCUC
rnacentral:misc_RNA from 1 species